UACAGGGGGCGCGAGCGUUGCUCGGAAUCACUGGGCGUAAAGCGUACGCAGGCGGAUCGUUAAGUCGGGUGUGAAAGCCCGGGGCUCAACCCCGGAAUUGCAUUCGAUACUGGCGGUCUUGAGUGCGGGAGAGGUGAGUGGAAUUCCUGGUGUAGAGGUGAAAUUCGUAGAUAUCAGGAGGAACACCGGUGGCGAAAGCGGCUCACUGGCCCGACACUGACGCUCAUGUACGAAAGCGUGGGGGAGCAAACAGG
rnacentral:rRNA from 1 species